rnacentral:tRNA from 1 species
GCGCCUGUAGCUCAGAUGGAUAGAGCGCAGACUUCGAAUCUGUAGGUCGGGAGUUCGAGCCUCCCCAGGCGCGCCA